UUGCUGGGCAGCGGCAUGCAGGGCCUGGCACCCCGACCAUCCCCACCCUGCGCAUGGCAUGGAUGGGCGCGGGAAGGAAGUGACCCCAGGCAGCAGGGAGGGGCCGGACACUGUGGUGUCGGGUGCCAGAAACCACUUAAAGUUUGCAAAAAACGUUUUUCCAACUACUCGGCCGGUCUAAUAAAAGAUAUCACAUCAACCCAAAGAGCCUGACCUGCCUAGAAACCACUUAGAGGCCUUUAGAGGAGGAAACGGAGCCUGGCCGAGCAGCCCAGGAGCUGGCCCCCAGGAAACAGCUUCUCCCCCACUCCUCCGUGGGAAUACGAAUGACCCCGGGAGCCAUCCAGCUCCAACGCCCUUGCCAAACGCACAGGCCAGCUGGAAAGCACGAUGACAGCAUCCUAGCUAUGCAUUAGCUAGCAGGGCUGCAAGUUAUGACUGCGCCCACGCAGGAUUCGUCCCGAGAGCGCGAUCCAGCUGGGGAGCAGGAGGGAGCCGCAGCAGCAUCGCUGCGAUAAUUAGGGGUGACCCUGCACUAGCUGCUGUCCCGGACCGGGAGUCUACCAUGCCAGCCUGGAUGUCUAACCGUGCACGGCCCAAAGCCCCAAAGAGGUACGGGAACAGCCUCAGCACCACUCAGCUCCGGGCGCCGACCGGGGCCGAGCCAGCAUGCACAAGCCGCGUUGUCUUGCAUGACGAACCAUCGUGACCUCCUCAUCCAGAUGGCACCGCCCUGCGUUCUUGCUCCAUCCUGGCAUCACGGGGAGGCUUAGCAGGCAUUUCAGAGCCCUCAGGAUUGAUUUAUUUUUUAAUAAAGUUUCAUUUCCAGGCCAAA